rnacentral:snRNA from 1 species
AAUACUUUUAAUCCUGUUGGCUAAGAUCAAAUGUAAAAGUAUUUGUUCUUUUCAGUGACAACUGAAAGGAGUUUUUUUAAUGCUUCUUGGUUGUCUUACUUAUUAUUAAGAUCAGUUGAAGCAUCCUUUAGUAUGCAAAAAAUGCUUCAACCAGCAUUUUACCACCACUGAUGUUCCUAGUUCCC